UAGUCCACACUGUAAACGAUGAUUGCUAGGUGUGGGGGGUCUGACCCCUUCCGUGCCGGAGCUAACGCAAUAAGCAAUCCACCUGGGGAGUACGACCGCAAGGUUGAAACUCAAAGGAAUUGACGGGGACCCGCACAAGCAGUGGAUUAUGUGGUUUAAUUCGAAGCAACGCGAAGAACCUUACCAGCACUUGACAUCCAACUAACGAAAUAGAGAUAUAUUAGGUGCCCUUCGGGGAAAGUUGAGAC
rnacentral:rRNA from 1 species